AACGAACGCUGGCGGCAUGCCUAACACAUGCAAGUCGAACGAGAUCUUCGGGUCUAGUGGCGCACGGGUGCGUAACGCGUGGGAAUCUGCCCUUUGGUUCGGAAUAACAGUUGGAAACGACUGCUAAUACCGGAUGAUGACGAAAGUCCAAAGAUUUAUCGCCAGAGGAUGAGCCCGCGUAGGAUUAGCUAGUUGGUGUGGUAAAGGCGCACCAAGGCGACGAUCCUUAGCUGGUCUGAGAGGAUGAUCAGCCACACUGGGACUGAGACACGGCCCAGACUCCUACGGGAGGAAGCAGUGGGGAAUAUUGGACAAUGGGCGAAAGCCUGAUCCAGCAAUGCCACGUGAGUGAUGAAGGCCUUAGGGUUGUAAAGCCCUUUUACCCGGGAUGAUAAUGACAGUACCGGGAGAAUAAGCUCCGGCUAACUCCGUGCCAGCAGCCGCCGUAA
rnacentral:rRNA from 1 species